rnacentral:rRNA from 1 species
UACAGAGGUCUCAAGCGUUGUUCGGAUUCAUUGGGCGUAAAGGGCGCGUAGGCGGCGGUGUAAGUCGGGUGUGAAAUCUCAGAGCUCAACUCUGAAACUGCACUCGAUACUGCUCUGCUUGAGGACUGGAGAGGAGACUGGAAUUCACGGUGUAGCAGUGAAAUGCGUAGAUAUCGUGAGGAAGACCAGUGGCGAAGGCGGGUCUCUGGACAGUGACUGACGCUGAGGCGCGAAGGCCAGGGGAGCAAACAGG